rnacentral:tRNA from 1 species
UCCUCGUUAGCUCAGUUGGUAGAGCGUUCGGCUUUUAACUAGCUGAGAGGAACCGAAAUGUCAGGGGUUCGAGCCCCCUACGAGGAG